rnacentral:tRNA from 1 species
GGGCCCUUAGCUUAGUCUGGUUAGAGCGCCGAGCUCAUAACUCGGUGGUCGUUGGUUCGAAUCCGACAGGGCCCA